CACACACACACACACACGUACGUUAUUAGCGGAUGUUUGUAACUUCAUGUCCCUGUGGCCUGAUACUCUUUCACUCUGAUAGUGUUCAGACUGGAAUGUGUGUAUUCCCCUGAAGUCAUUUUGAUGCUCUGCACCACCACAGAGACACUAAGACCAGGCAGACAGCAGUGAGAAUAGACAGUAGGGGAGAUAAGAGGAGAGACAGUAGGGGAGAUAAGAGAAGAGACAGUAGGGGAAAUAAGAGGAGAGACAGUAGGGGAGAUAAGAGGAGAGACAGUAGGGGAGAUAAGAGAAGAGACAGUAGGGGAAAUAAGAGGAGAGACAGUAGGGGAGAUAAGAGAAGAGACAGUAGGGGAGAUAAGAGAAGAGACAGUAGAGGAAAUAAGAGGAGAGACAGUAGGGGAGAUAAGAGAAGAGACAGUAGGGGAAAUAAGAGGAGAGACAGUAGGGGAAAUAAGAGGAGAGACAGUAGGGGAGAUAAGAGGAGAGACAGUAGGGGAGAUAAGAGGAGAGACAGUAGGGGAGAUAAGAGGAGAGACAGUAGGGGAGAUAAGAGGAGAGACAGUAGGGGAGAUAAGAGGAGAGACAGUAGGGGAGAUAAGAGAAGAGACAGUAGGGGAGAUAAGAGGAGAGACAGUAGAGGAUGUCUGACGAUGAUGUGAAAAACAGAUCAAACCACUUCCCAUUUAACUGGAGGAAAGCAACCAGCCAACCAGAGACCAGACACUAGCAGCAACCAGCCAACCAGAGACCAGACACUAGCAGCAACCAGCCAACCAGAGACCAGACACUAGCAGCAACCAGCCAACCAGAGACCAGACACUAGCAGCAACCAGCUACAAGCAGAUAGUCCCUUUUCAUGUUCAAGAUGACUGUUUCCCACAUAGCAGAUACAAACAGAAAUCCAUGAGUAUGACACAAAAGAGUGAGGGUUAUGGUUACAGUACAGCCUGUACCAGACCAGAACAUGUUGAGGUGGUUUGGCUGAAGGUACAGUACAGCCUGUACCAGACCAGAACAUGCUGAGGUAGUUUGGCUGAAGGUAUAGUACAGCCUGUACCAGACCAGAACAUGCUGAGGUAGUUUGGCUGAAGGUAUAGUACAGCCUGUACCAGACCAGAACAUGUUGAGGUAGUUUGGCUGAAGGUAUAGUACAGCCUGUACCAGACCAGAACAUGUUGAGGUAGUUUGGCUGAAGGUAUAGUACAGCCUGUACCAGACCAGAACAUGCUGAGGUGGUUUGGCUGAAGGUAUAGUACAGCCUGUACCAGACCAGAACAUGUUGAGGUAGUUUGGCUGAAGGUACAGUACAGCCUGUACCAGACCAGAACAUGUUGAGGUGGUUUGGCUGAAGGUAUAGUACAGCCUGUACCAGACCAGAACAUGUUGAGGUGGUUUGGAUGAAGGUACAGGAUAGAGGAAGCUUACUUCAGUCUUCACUAAAACCACAAUCUCAAGUGCAUUGUUUUCCCCCAUAGACUUGUAUAAUGGCUGGUUUCCCCCAGAGACUUGUAUAUGGGGGAAACCAGUGAUUGCCAACAAGGGUUUUGCAAGUGCUAAGUCAUGUUUUGCAGAGGUGUCAAAUACUUAUUUCCCUCAUUAAAAUGCAAAUCAAUUUAUAACAUUUUUGACAUGUGUUUUUCUGGAUAUUUUUGUUGUUAUUCUGUCUCUCACUGUUCAAAUAAACCUACCAUUAAAAUUA
rnacentral:lncRNA from 1 species